AAAUUCUCAUCUUUAUCAGAAAUUAACGAAAACAACAGUUUUUUCAGUGGGAAAAUGAGUGAUUUGAAGUCGAAGUUCUUGGAUGUUUACAAAAUACUGAAAUCUGAGCUUCUUAAUGAUCCAGAUUUUGAGUUUACUGAUGAUGGUCGUCAAUGGGUCGAACGGAUGUUGGACUACAAUGUACCUGGAGGAAAGCUGAACCGUG
rnacentral:misc_RNA from 1 species